AGUCUUAGGGAGGUUAGUUGCUCUCC
rnacentral:tRNA from 1 species